rnacentral:misc_RNA from 1 species
UCACCCUCGAGCCCCAGGCUUGGUGUUGGAUGGUUUUGGUGGGACCUGCAGUGUCUCACCCCUCCUAAAGACAAUGACGGCGGCCUCGUUGGACCCCCGGUACACUGAGCUUCUUAACUGAGCAUGUACUGGAUGUGGGUGCGCGGGGCACGGUCUGCCUCCCCUUAGGGAGAAACUUUUUCUAA